rnacentral:rRNA from 1 species
AUUGAACGCUGGCGGCAGGCCUAACACAUGCAAGUCGAACGGUAGCACAGAGAGCUUGCUCUCGGGUGACGAGUGGCGGACGGGUGAGUAACGUCUGGGAAACUGCCCGAUGGAGGGGGAUAACUACUGGAAACGGUAGCUAAUACCGCAUAACGUCGCAAGACCAAAGUGGGGGACCUUCGGGCCUCACACCAUCGGAUGUGCCCAGAUGGGAUGAGCUAGUAGGUGGGGUAAUGGCUCACCUAGGCGACGAUCCCUAGCUGGUCUGAGAGGAUGACCAGCCACACUGGAACUGAGACACGGUCCAGACUCCUACGGGAGGCAGCAGUGGGGAAUAUUGCACAAUGGGCGCAAGCCUGAUGCAGCCAUGCCGCGUGUAUGAAGAAGGCCUUCGGGUUGUAAAGUACUUUCAGCGGGGAGGAAGGCGGUGGAGUUAAUAACUUCACCGAUUGACGUUACCCGCAGAAGAAGCACCGGCUAACUCCGUGCCAGCCGCCGCUGUAA